UUUAAGCUUAGUCAUGAGUUUCCAUAUUAAACUAUGAUCAUUCGUCUUAUUUGAAAUUUAUUAUUAUUAUUAUUAUUAUUAUUAUUAUUAUUAUUAUUGUUAGAUGAUGAAUAGUACUUUAUAUGUGGCUUAUAUUUUUUUUAAUUUUUUCAAAUAAGAUGGAUGAUCAAAGUUAGACACGAAAACUCAUGGCUGCACUUAAA
rfam:Oryza punctata chromosome 3, whole genome shotgun sequence.